CUCUUAUCAAGAGUGGUGGAGGGACUGGCCCUAUGAAACCCGGCAACCGGUAUUCUCAUGUGAAUACAGCGGUGCCAAUUCCUACAAUGUAGACGUUGAUAGAUGAGAG
rnacentral:ncRNA from 1 species